GGGGCUAGGGCUCAGUGGCAGAGUGCUUGCCUUGCACACAUGAGGCCUGGAGUUCGAUCCUUAGCACCA
rnacentral:tRNA from 1 species